rnacentral:rRNA from 1 species
CAGCCUGAUGGAGCACACCGCGUGAGUGAAGAAGGGUUUCGGCUCGUAAAGCUCUGUUGUUAAAGAAGAACACGUAUGAGAGUAACUGUUCAUACGUUGACGGUAUUUAACCAGAAAGUCACGGCUAACUACGUGCCAGCAGCCGCGGUAAUACGUAGGUGGCAAGCGUUAUCCGGAUUUAUUGGGCGUAAAGAGAGUGCAGGCGGUUUUCUAAGUCUGAUGUGAAAGCCUUCGGCUUAACCGGAGAAGUGCAUCGGAAACUGGAUAACUUGAGUGCAGAAGAGGGUAGUGGAACUCCAUGUGUAGCGGUGGAAUGCGUAGAUAUAUGGAAGAACACCAGUGGCGAAGGCGGCUACCUGGUCUGCAACUGACGCUGAGACUCGAAAGCAUGGGUAGCGAACAGGAUUAGAUACC